AACCAUAGAAACCUGCGGAGUACCUGCGGAAGGAUCAUUAUAGUAUAUGGAAUCUCCAUUCUAUAAACCCACUCUGCGUAUCUUGUAACUGUUGCUUCCAUGGGACUUGGUUCCGCCACACCGGCUUCACGGCUGGUGAGCGCCCAUGGAAGGAGAAACAAAACCCUUCUUUGAAAUGUAGUCAGUCUGAACAAGUUUUUAUAAACGUUAAAACUUUUAGCAAUGGAUCUCAGAUCGGAA
rnacentral:misc_RNA from 1 species